rnacentral:rRNA from 1 species
GUUGUUGGGUAGGGGAGCGUUCUGUAAGCCUGCGAAGGUGGCCUGUGAGGGUUGCUGGAGGUAUCAGAAGUGCGAAUGCUGACAUAAGUAACGAUAAAGCGGGUGAAAAGCCCGCUCGCCGGAAGACCAAGGGUUCCUGUCCAACGUUAAUCGGGGCAGGGUGAGUCGACCCCUAAGGCGAGGCCGAAAGGCGUAGUCGAUGGGAAACGGGUUAAUAUUCCCGUACUUGGUGUUACUGCGAAGGGGGGACGGAGAAGGCUAUGUUGGCCGGGCGACGGUUGUCCCGGUUUAAGCGUGUAGGUGUGUGUUCCAGGUAAAUCCGGUUCACUUUAACACUGAGGCGUGAUGACGAGGCACUACGGUGCUGAAGCAACAAAUGCCCUGCUUCCAGGAAAAGCCUCUAAGCAUCAGGUAACAUCAAAUCGUACCCCAAACCGACACAGGUGGUCAGGUAGAGAAUACCAAGGCGCUUGAGAGAACUCGGGUGAAGGAACUAGGCAAAAUGGUGCCGUAACUUCGGGAGAAGGCACGCUGACACGUAGGUGAAGUGAUUUACUCAUGGAGCUGAAGUCAGUCGAAGAUACCAGCUGGCUGCAACUGUUUAUUAAAAACACAGCACUGUGCAAACACGAAAGUGGACGUAUACGGUGUGACGCCUGCCCGGUGCCGGAAGGUUAAUUGAUGGGGUCAGCGCAAGCGAAGCUCCUGAUCGAAGCCCCGGUAAACGGCGGCCGUAACUAUAACGGUCCUAAGGUAGCGAAAUUCCUUGUCGGGUAAGUUCCGACCUGCACGAAUGGCGUAAUGAUGGCCAGGCUGUCUCCACCCGAGACUCAGUGAAAUUGAACUCGCUGUGAAGAUGCAGUGUACCCGCGGCAAGACGGAAAGACCCCGUGAACCUUUACUAUAGCUUGACACUGAACAUUGAGCCUUGAUGUGUAGGAUAGGUGGGAGGCUUUGAAGUGUGGACGCCAGUCUGCAUGGAGCCGACCUUGAAAUACCACCCUUUAAUGUUUGAUGUUCUAACGUGGACCCGUAAUCCGGGUUGCGGACAGUGUCUGGUGGGUAGUUUGACUGGGGCGGUCUCCUCCUAAAGAGUAACGGAGGAGCACGAAGGUUGGCUAAUCCUGGUCGGACAUCAGGAGGUUAGUGCAAUGGCAUAAGCCAGCUUGACUGCGAGCGUGACGGCGCGAGCAGGUGCGAAAGCAGGUCAUAGUGAUCCGGUGGUUCUGAAUGGAAGGGCCAUCGCUCAACGGAUAAAAGGUACUCCGGGGAUAACAGGCUGAUACCGCCCAAGAGUUCAUAUCGACGGCGGUGUUUGGCACCUCGAUGUCGGCUCAUCACAUCCUGGGGCUGAAGUAGGUCCCAAGGGUAUGGCUGUUCGCCAUUUAAAGUGGUACGCGAGCUGGGUUUAGAACGUCGUGAGACAGUUCGGUCCCUAUCUGCCGUGGGCGCUGGAGAACUGAGGGGGGCUGCUCCUAGUACGAGAGGACCGGAGUGGACGCAUCACUGGUGUUCGGGUUGUCAUGCCAAUGGCACUGCCCGGUAGCUAAAUGCGGAAGAGAUAAGUGCUGAAAGCAUCUAAGCACGAAACUUGCCCCGAGAUGAGUUCUCCCUGAGACUUAGAGUCUCCUGAAGGAACGUUGAAGACGACGACGUUGAUAGGCCGGGUGUGUAAGCGCAGCGAUGCGUUGAGCUAACCGGUACUAAUGAACCGUGAGGCUUAACCUUAC